rnacentral:rRNA from 1 species
AUUGAACGCUGGCGGCAUGCUUUACACAUGCAAGUCGAACGGCAGCACGGGAGCUUGCUCCUGGUGGCGAGUGGCGAACGGGUGAGUAAUGCGUCGGAACGUGCCAAGUAAUGGGGGAUAACGCAGCGAAAGUUGUGCUAAUACCGCAUAAGCUCUGAGGAGGAAAGCGGGGGAUCGAAAGACCUCGCGUUAUUUGAGCGGCCGACGUCUGAUUAGCUAGUUGGUGGGGUAAAGGCCCACCAAGGCGACGAUCAGUAGCGGGUCUGAGAGGAUGAUCCGCCACACUGGGACUGAGACACGGCCCAGACUCCUACGGGAGGCAGCAGUGGGGAAUUUUGGACAAUGGGGGCAACCCUGAUCCAGCCAUGCCGCGUGUCUGAAGAAG